rnacentral:rRNA from 1 species
UAGUCCACGCCGUAAACGAUGAGUGCUAAGUGUUAGGGGGUUUCCGCCCCUUAGUGCUGCAGCUAACGCAUUAAGCACUCCGCCUGGGGAGUACGGUCGCAAGACUGAAACUCAAAGGAAUUGACGGGGGCCCGCACAAGCGGUGGAGCAUGUGGUUUAAUUCGAAGCAACGCGAAGAACCUUACCAGGUCUUGACAUCCCGUUGACCACUAUGGAGACAUGGUUUUCCCUUCGGGGACAACGGUGAC